rnacentral:rRNA from 1 species
GACGAACGCUGGCGGCGUGCUUAACACAUGCAAGUCGAACGGAAAGGCCCUGCUUUUGUGGGGUGCUCGAGUGGCGAACGGGUGAGUAACACGUGAGUAACCUGCCCUUGACUUUGUGAUAACUUCAGGAAACUGGGGCUAAUACCGGAUAGGAGCUCCUGCUGCAUGGUGGUGGUUGGAAAGUUUCGGCGGUUGGGGAUGGACUCGCGGCUUAUCAGCUUGUUGGUGGGGUAGUGGCUUACCAAGGCUUUGACGGGUAGCCGGCCUGAGAGGGUGACCGGCCACAUUGGGACUGAGAUACGGCCCAGACUCCUACGGGAGGCAGCAGUGGAGAAUAUGGCACAAUGGGCGGAAGCCUGAGGCAGCGACGCCGCGUGCGGGAUAACGGCCUUCGGGUUGUAAACCGCUUUCGCCUGUGACGAAGCGUGAGUGACGGUAAUGGGUAAAGAAGCACCGGCUAACUACGUG